rnacentral:rRNA from 1 species
CCGGCGCACGGGUGAGUAACGCGUAUCCAACCUUCCCAUUACUGUGGGAUAACCUGCCGAAAGGCAGACUAAUACCGCAUAGUCUUCGAUGACGGCAUCAGAUUUGAAGUAAAGAUUUAUCGGUAAUGGAUGGGGAUGCGUCUGAUUAGCUUGUUGGCGGGGUAACGGCUCACCAAGGCAACGAUCAGUAGGGGUUCUGAGAGGAAGGUCCCCCACAUUGGAACUGAGACACGGUCCAAACUCCUACGGGAGGCAGCAGGC